rnacentral:rRNA from 1 species
CACGGGUGCGUAACGCGUAUGCAACCUGCCUGUAAUUAGGGAAUAACCCGGUGAAAGUCGGACUAAUACCCUAUAUUCUUCUUUCUCCGCAUGGGGGAGGACGGAAAGAUUUAUUGAUUACAGAUGGGCAUGCGUCCCAUUAGCUGGUUGGUAAGGUAACGGCUUACCAAGGCAACGAUGGGUAGGGGGACUGAGAGGUUGACCCCCCACACUGGUACUGAGACACGGACCAGACUUCUACGGGAGGCAGCAGUGAGGAAUAUUGGUCAAUGGGCGAGAGCCUGAACCAGCCAAGUCGCGUGAAGGACGACGGUUCUAUGGAUUGUAAACUUCUUUUGUAGAGGAAUAAUGGCAGCUACGUGUAGCUGAGAUGCAUUACUCACGAAU